AGGACGACCAGCCGCAUUGGGACUGAGAUACGGCCCAGACUCCUACGGGAGGCAGCAGUGGGGAAUCUUGGACAAUGGACGAAAGUCUGAUCCAGCGACACCGCGUGGGGGAUGAAGGCUCUCGGGUCGUAAACCCCUUUUCUGGGGGAAGAAUAAGGUCAGGAGGAAAUGCCUGUCCGAUGACGGUACUCCAGGAAUAAGCAUCGGCAAACUCCGUGCCAGCAGCCGCGGUAAGACGGAGGAUGCGAGCGUUAUCCGGAAUUACUGGGCGUAAAGGACGUCUAGGCGGUUGGGUAAGUCACUUGUGAAAGCCCUCGGCUCAACCGAGGAAAGUCUCGUGAUACUGCCCGGCUUGGGUGUAGGAGAGGGGAGUGGAACUCACAGAGUAGCGGUGGAAUGCGUAGAUACUGUGAGGUACCCCGAUGGCGAAGGCAACUCCCUGGCCUACUACCGACGCUGAAGCGUGAAAGCGUGGGGAGCAAAGGGGAUUAGAUACCCCCGUAGUCCACGCCCCAAACGAUGUUCACUUGGUGUCGGCCGCAAAUGUAGGUCGGUGCCGGAGCUAACGCGUUAAGUGAACCGCCUGAGGAGUACGGCCGCAAGGCUAAAGCUCAAGAGAAUUGACGGGUCCCCGCACAAGCGGUGGAGCACGUGGUUUAAUUCGAUGGUAAGCGAAGAACCUCACCCAGGCUUGACAUACUAGUGGUAGGAACUGGAAACAGGGACGACCCUACCUUCGGGUAGGGAGCUAGUACAGGUGAUGCAUGGCUGUCGUCAGCUCGUGUCGUGGGAUGUAGGGUUAAGUCCCGAAACGAGCGCAACCCUUGUCGUUAGUUGCCAGCGGGUAAUGCCGGGGACUCUAGCGAGACUGCUGGUGAAUAGCCGGAGGAAGGCGGGGAUGACGUCAAGUCAUCAUGUCCCUUAUGCCUGGGGCGACACACAUGCUACAAUGGGUGGUACAGAGGGUCGCGAAGCCGUAAGGUGGAGCCAAUCUCAAAAAGCCAUCCUCAGUUCGGAUUGAGGUCUGCAACUCGACCUCAUGAAGCCGGAAUCGCUAGUAAUCGUAGGUCAGCCAUACUACGGUGAAUAUGUACUCGGGGAUUGUACACACCGCCCGUCACACCAACCGAGUGGGGGGUACCUGAAGUCGUCUCUAGGAGGCGCCGAGGGUAACCUUCGCAAGAGGGGUGAAGUCGUAACAAGGUA
rnacentral:rRNA from 1 species